UACGUAGGGGGCAAGCGUUGUCCGGAUUUAUUGGGCGUAAAGAGCGUGUAGGCGGCCAAGCAGGUCCGCUGUGAAAACUCGAGGCUCAACCUCGAGACGCCGAUGGAAACCAUCUAACUAGAGUCCGGAAGAGGAGAGUGGAAUUCCUGGUGUAGCGGUGAAAUGCGCAGAUAUCAGGAAGAACACCCGUGGCUAAGGCGGCUCUCUAGUACGGUACUGACGCUGAGACGCGAAAGCGUGGGGAGCGAACAGG
rnacentral:rRNA from 1 species